rnacentral:sRNA from 1 species
UCAACAAAUACCAAAUCUGUCUCGUAAUCGUAGUGCGUAGUACGCGAGCAAAAGCUAACGCGAAUAAUUGAAAGCGGAAAAGCAAAGCAAAGCUAAGCUGAAACGUGCAUUGCAUAUUACGAAAUUGCAGCUGCCAGUUGAACAGCCUGCCUGCCUGCGUUUUAAGAGAAAAAAUUUAAAUCCAAGGAAAAGACUAUAUGUACACAUAAUAUGUGCAUAUAUAUAGAAAUAGUUAGCUAAAUUGAAGACAACCCGAAUGCAAGCAGCAUCAGCAGCAGCGGCAGCAACAGCAGCAGCAACAAAAACAGCAUAGGCAAGAACCAAGAAAAA